CCUACAGCCGAAUCAAUUUAAUAGAGAAUCCGACUGCAUUCUUGUGUGAGAAAUACACGAGCUUACCAUCACCGCAACUUUCUCAAAUACUGAAUAUUGAAGCAUCUAAUCAUCUGAAUGUAUUUUGCAUCUCACCUUCAAAACCUGAUGAUCCUGAAGAUAAAGUUUCAUUGGAAGACGAAGAUGAUCCAGAAUUAAGUCUGCUGGUCGAGCUUCUAGGUAAAGGUUACAAAAUGAAAUAUGAAGAUUGGACAAAAUGUUCAACCACUACUUGAACCCAAGACCUAUUGUUAUUGUAACAAAACAUAUAACUAGUAAACAAAGCUUCUCAUUCGUGAAUAUCUUACAAAUGAGCAU